ACCAACUCUGCUGCAUUGCUUAGUUCAAUGCUCUGCACAAGUAUUUCCAUGUCAUGAGCAAAAUUCACAUCCCAAAGAGAGAGAAAGCCUACUGUCUUCAUGUCCGUCCUUCCAUGUCUUCGGCGGAUGCGCCGCCGUGACUGAAACAACGCUUCCGCUGACAUCUGACAUUUACAGAGCUUCCUGGGGCCGUGAGUAGCUUCCUGGGGCCGUGAGAAACAAACAAGAUUUGCUAAUUUCAUGUGGCCAGUUCCCCAAGAUGAGUCGGAAAUGAAUCACCCGCCAUGAAGGGUGGUCUGUUUCUCAGCACACCGAACGAAUCCACUCGUGGAAAGGAAGAGCUGACGUGAGGGCCCAGCUCUGCUUUCAAGACUGCCACUUUGCAUCCUGAUCUUCAUGAAAUUUUUACUCAGUGAGUGAAACACCUUCCUAAUCGGUAGCUGUAAGAGGAAUCCAUGUCCUGUGAGGUCUGCUGGUCACCAACCUGCCAGCCUUGUAAUUUACACUGCUGAAGAACCAGACGGCAUUUCUCCGCUGCAGACAGUUUCUUUCUCUCUCCCAG